rnacentral:rRNA from 1 species
AACGACUCUCGGCAACGGAUAUCUCGGCUCUCGCAUCGAUGAARAACGUAGCGAAAUGCGAUACUUGGUGUGAAUUGCAGAAUCCCGUGAACCAUCGAGUCUUUGAACGCAAGUUGCGCCCGAUGCCAUCAGGUUGAGGGCACGUC